rnacentral:lncRNA from 1 species
CGUCCCCGAGGUCCCCUCUGUGUGACUGUGUCCUCAUCCCUAAGGUCCCCUGUGUGACCGUGUCCUCGUCCCCGAGGUCCCCU